GACGAACGCUGGCGGCGUGCCUAAUACAUGCAAGUAGAACGCUGAAGGAGGAGCUUGCUUCUCUGGAUGAGUUGCGAACGGGUGAGUAACGCGUAGGUAACCUGCCUGGUAGCGGGGGAUAACUAUUGGAAACGAUAGCUAAUACCGCAUAAGAGUAGAUGUUGCAUGACAUUUGCUUAAAAGGUGCAAUUGCAUCACUACCAGAUGGACCUGCGUUGUAUUAGCUAGUUGGUGAGGUAACGGCUCACCAAGGCAACGAUACAUAGCCGACCUGAGAGGGUGAUCGGCCACACUGGGACUGAGACACGGCCCAGACUCCUACGGGAGGCAGCAGUAGGGAAUCUUCGGCAAUGGACGGAAGUCUGACCGAGCAACGCCGCGUGAGUGAAGAAGGUUUUCGGAUCGUAAAGCUCUGUUGCAAGAGAAGAACGAGUGUGAGAGUGGAAAGUUCACACUGUGACGGUAUCUUACCAGAAAGGGACGGCUAACUACGUG
rnacentral:rRNA from 1 species